rnacentral:rRNA from 1 species
GGAAAAAGCUUGAAGCCAGCCCCGCCCGCGUGCAUGAUGACGGUUCUUCUGGGUGUAAAACUCUGUUGUUACGGAAGAACAGACCGUUACGGUUGAACGCUCCUUGACCGUCCUUGCCAGAACCCCCGGCAAACUACCUGCCACCACCCUCAUAAAUAA